rnacentral:lncRNA from 1 species
GCGCAACUGACAAAAGUGGCGCCGUCGAACGGUCUACGAAAAGCGCUGCCUUCAUCAAUACACCGUGCUUUGCAUUUCUUCAUCAGGGCAAGCGAAUGAUUCCUGCAUGACAAACACAGAAUUUCCCUGUACUCAUCGUUUCUCAGACGUUCUGACCUCUCAGUCGUCUGUGUUGACUCGUGUGGCACCGAAGCAGUAAAAAAAAAAAAAAAAAAAGCGGCAGGAAUGUCACCAUGUGCCGACUUCUUGGAUAUGUGCUGUUUUUAAAGAGUAACGACGCAGACACAGAGGUGAACAGGACAAAGCGUCCUGUUAACCUCUGUGUAUGCGCCUUCUUCGUCGUUAUUCUUUAAAAACAGCGCAUAUCCAAGAAGUCGUCAUCGCCUUACUCACCAUGUGCCGCAGAGUUCCGGUACGGCAAAAUAUAAGCUGCGCUAUUAUUGGAAUCUGACAAGCCAGACUGACACGUUAAAGGGAAUUUUUCCACGGGAAGGAAGGAGUCACUGACCUGGAGAGGCUGUCCCUGGAAAAUACGUUCCAGCUCAGCAAAAAUGGCCUCGCGGUCUUCUUCCUCAUCGAGGAGGAAGCAUCCACUGUCGACGCGCUCCCUUGGCUCCUCGCUUUUGCUCUCUUCUUGGCCUCCCAAGAUGUGCUCUCCUGCAAGCACGGGCCACACAGGUGAACCUGGGGACGUGGAGCC